rnacentral:tRNA from 1 species
AGGUCCUUAGCUCAGUCGGUAGAGCAACAGCCUUUUAAGCUGAUGGUCAGGGGUUCGAUUCCCCUAGGGCCUACCA